AUACCCCUACAAUGUCUAGCACUGGGCUCUGACCACCCUGAGAACAUAUUACCCCCCGGGGGAGUUUGAGGGGCCC
rnacentral:snoRNA from 1 species